rnacentral:rRNA from 1 species
GAUGAACGCUGGCGGCGUGCCUAAUACAUGCAAGUCGAACGGAAGGACGCGGAGCUUGCUUCGUUGAUGUUAGCCGCGGGCGGGUGUGUAACACGUGUAUCCCCUACCUAUAUUUCUGGGAUAACUUCGGAACUGCGGCUCUUACAGCAUAGAAUCUCUUGAUCCACAGUGUGGGAUGGUAAAAUACGGUGUUGGGGUCUCGUCUAGCGGGAUCCGCGCUGCAUUAGCUGGUUGGUGAGGUCACGGCUUACGAAGGCAAGGAUGCGUGGCCGAACGGAGAGGGGGAUCGGCCACAUGGGAGCUGGAACACGGUCCAGACUACUACGGGAGGCAGCAGUAGGGAAUCUGCGGCAAUGGGCGAAAGCCUGACGGAGCAACGGCGCGCGAGUGAUGAAGGUCUUCGGAUCGUAAAACUCUGUUAUGAGGGAAGAACAGAUGUGGAAGGAACUGUGCAGAGAGUGACGGUACCUAAUCAGAAAGCCACGGCUAACUACGUG